UACGUAGGUGGCAAGCGUUGUCCGGAUUUACUGGGCGUAAAGAGCGCGCAGGCGGUCGUUCAAGUCGCGUGUGAAAGCCCCUGGCUCAACUGGGGAGGGUCACGCGAUACUGCUCGACUUGAAGGCAGGAGAGGGAAGUGGAAUUCCCGGUGUAGUGGUGAAAUGCGUAGAUAUCGGGAGGAACACCAGUGGCGAAGGCGACUUCCUGGCCUGUUCUUGACGCUGAGGCGCGAAAGCUAGGGUAGCAAACGGG
rnacentral:rRNA from 1 species